rnacentral:tRNA from 1 species
UCCCGCGUAGCUCAGUGGUAGAGCGGAUCGCUGUUAACGAUUAGGUCACUGGUUCGAGCCCAGUCGCGGGAGCCA